rnacentral:lncRNA from 1 species
CCAAAUAUUUUUCUCUAAGUAAUAUAUUUUAGGUAUAGUUCUGUAUAUUGUAUGUUUUACUUUGAAUUUGUCUCUCACCUCGUCUGUAGAGAUUGAAGUGUUGUCCUAAGAUUGUGGGAACCUGGUGUUUUUGAAUUGGAAUCUGUGGGUAUGUAACUCAGGGGAGGGUGUGGGCUUACACACUGUUAUGAUCCAUUCCGUAGACUGCUUAUUUGUCAAUGGUAUUACUUGCGUGCGUGUGUGUGUGUGUGAGUGAGCGGUGGAGUUUUUUUUUAUUGUACAUAUAUAAUGCAUUUUCUACAGCUUGGUAUCCAAAGCUUAAGCUUUAGCAGUAAAAUCAAACACAAUGUUUCUGGAUAGAUUUGACAGUUGCCAAAACAACUAAACAGUUUUUUUUCAGAGCCACUUAUGAUCUAAUGUCUUUAGUAUGGUAAUAUCUUUUUUUCUGAGAAGUUGUGAUGUGAUGAUGGUUUGUGCAAGUGGGUUUCGUAUUUAGAAAGUAUUUAACUUUAUUAAUAUUAUUUAGUAAAAUAUUUUAGUUAAACUAACAGUCGCUGCCAUACAUAAUCAGCCACACUCCUCAGGCAAAGUGAACAAUCUCUUAGAAUCAGGAUCUGGAGUGAUCUCGUUAACAUGGCUAUAAUGCAAAGUAAUAAUAUUUACAACAGUACUACUAUUUAUGUACAGCUAACUGCCAAAACAGCUUCAAUGCACUUUAAUGCGCCUUGGCAUAUAUUCUACAAGUGUCUGGAACUCUUGGAGGGAUGCAACACCGUUCUUCCACGAGUAAUUCCAUAAUUUGGUGUUUUGUUGAUGGUGGUGGAAAAUGCUGUCUCAGUCGCCUCUCCAGGAUCUCCCAUAAGUGUUCAAUUGAGUUGAGAUCUGUUGACUGACACACACACACACACACUUAAAAUGAUGGGCAACUGGGAAUUUUUCUACAUGACCCUAAGCAGGAUGAGAUGUUUUAAUUGCUUAAUUAACUCAGGAAUCACCUGUGUCGAAGCACCUGCUUUAAAUAUACUUUGUAUCCCUCAUUUACUCACGUGUUUCCUUUAUUUUGUCAAUUACCUGUAUAUAAUGCAGCUUAUAUUUCAUAUAAUUCACAAUGCAUAAAUAAAAUUUAAAAAAUAUGCACAUUAAUCCUACUUUAAUACUCAAAGUAAUUCCCUUUCCACUUAGCUACUAACGGGUAAAAAAUACCAGUAUCCCAGUUUUAACGUUUCCUUCAAUAUUUUGAUGAUCGACCAGAGAGAUGUGGAGACUGAAGGGAAAUGUGACAGGGAUAUUUGAUAAGUAAGAUAAAGUUGCUGUGUGGUUUGUUUCACUUAGUCAUUAUGGAGGUUUGGGCCAUGCGCUGCAAACCUUUUUAGAACCUUAACGAGGGGAUUUUACAUGAAAAGAGAUCAUUACUUUACUAUUCAUUGAUUAGUCAGUCAAUCCCUUUGACCUUUUGGGAGGUUGAUGUUUAUUGUCAUGAAUCUUGCCCUGGAGACAGAAUUAAGGAUUUCUGCUAGAUGGGCCAGCUGCAAAGUCAAAGUUGGCUAUAUUGAAAAAAUUCAUGAAAAAAUAUUUUUUUUACAUUUAUGGUUGGGCAUUAGGGUUAGCGGUGUGGUUAGGGUUCAAAUCUGAUGUUAUGACUUUGUGGCUGUGCCAGCUAGUGACCACUCUGCAGAGCUGCCUGCAGGGCAAGAUUCAUGACAAUAAAUGCCAACCUGCCUUUGGGAGUGGCUGUGUGGCUGCCUAUGGGACUGAAAUGAUCUGCACUUUAAAAAUAACUAUUUAUAGUUUUGUUUUGGCAACUAACAAAUCUGAACUCCAUUUUGAUUUAGAAAUGUGUGUAUGGCAUAAUAUGAAAUUAAUUUGAACUAUAUCAUUGUGAGAAAUGUUUUUACCACAGUGUAACUGUUGACUGCUGAGUGUUGAGCAGUUGUUUUCUACCUUUCUCUGUAUAUAGUCCUGAAAGCUUGUAUUCACAGUUUUGUACUUAUGAUUGGGAGGACAUUUAUUUUAAAGUGAGUUUUUUUUUAUUUUUUCAUUUUUAUGUACCAUAUACAAUUUCGUACCUUUUGUCAAAUUGGUGUAUUUGUUGUACAGCAAUUUGGAUUUGAUUGCAUGAAACACAACUUUAACGUCACCGUAACUGCUGUGAAUACUGUAUAUAUUUCUCAUCACUUUGAGUAAAGACCUACUCUGAAAAAAACUCUUAUGUUUGGUCUUUAGUCCACGUGUAUUUUGUAUUGGUCUCAGAUGUCAGUGUGUUGUCUUUUUCUCAGCUUGACUCAACACAGCAGGUGUGUUCAUUUCAGCUCACCAGGCGUAUCAGGUUAAUGUCAGUUCACCAGGCACCUACGUCUCUCUGUAUUGGACAGGUGCAUAGUAGCAGGUGCACAGUUGGGAGGAGAAGGCAUAGAGGAGAAAGCCUGGUUGGGUUCUGGUCCAGCAGUCAUGGUCUUAAGCGUUGAGGA